GAAAACACACACCCUCUAAAGAUAAUUCUGUGACUAGACUUCUAGUCCGGAGCUACAGAGCAGAAGAUCCGGGGAAUUAUAAUGAAAUUCUAAAAUACAAGGCACGGGAACUGGAAUUACAGCAUCCCUUCACCAUUCUGAAGGAGGACAGAUGAGAGCUAACAUGCCAUCUAACUGACACGGACUGAUCAUCUGAGCUUAUUGUGAAACAAACUUACAUUUUUGGUACCUUUACUGGUGUGCAUGUGCUUGUAUGCUUAUGUGUACACAAGUACACAAUGAAAAACACGAACAACCCUAAAGCUGUAGAGAUGCCACCUCUAGAAGAUAGAGAGGCACUGUUCCAUAAAAGGCUAUUACUUACCUUUCGAAAAAGGCAAAGUAUUAAGUGGAAAAGAGAUUGGGUAUGUGGUUCACAAGGUUAUCCAAACAUAAAACUACUGUGACUACAAAACACCUUCUAAAUCAUAGUCUCAGGUACAGGUUUUACCACUAGUAUUAGUGUGAGUUCCCUUUGUUUGGAGCUGCAGAUCUCUGGCUCUCCGUGGAAGGAAUGUGAAGCAAACUGGAAAGGGAGAUCCAUGUGUCAGGGCUGUUUCUGUCAAAUGGUCUCCUCACACAUUGCAGAUGUUGUUGAAGCAUAAGCCAAGGAGUGUGUGGAAUAAAAAGCAGCCUGUGGAGAUCUGGAUGGGGAUAAAUGCUGCAGAAAGCUUGUAGCAUGCUUCUACAGCACAAGAGAAUUUCACCAGAAGGUAACAGGAUCUAUACAAGAAUCCAUUUAUAGGCUGAUCUUAGAGGUUAUAUUGGUACACUUACAUUAAUCUUACACUAUACCAGUAGUUUUCUUAAGGCCAUUAGCACCAGAACUUCUUGAAAGUUCGAUGCACAAUUUGGUUAUAAGCAUAUGACUUAUGCUAAGAUAAGAACAAAUCCUGUAGAGCAUAUGUCAGAGAUUUCUUUUCAUUUAGAAAUCAAUUUUUAUUAACAUCAGAACCCGAUAUAUCCUGAGAAGAAGAGUAAGAUUAAGAAAAAAAGAAAAAAAGUAAAACUUAUAAUCAUGCCAGAAAAAGAACAGUUAAUGAUGAUGGCUCAAAAAAAUGAAGACUUCACCUAAUGAGAUCAAAUAAUUUAGACCUGGGAAUACUAGUUAAAUUUAAAUGUUCAGAAGCUCUCAGCAAGGAAUCACAGAAAUUUGAGUUGUAGUCACAAAAUUCCAGGUAUUGUACGAUGAACACAUGGCUUAUUGAUAUGACAAGUAGUACUAUUUUUCCCCGGGAAAAGAAAGGGUAUUUGUGGCAAAUGGUCUAAUAGAAAGAUACAAGUAAUUCAUGGAUUUCUACAUUGUCCGUUGGGUGAGGUGACAGAUCUGAAAAGCCUCAGAUAUAUUAGUUCUUCUGUCAUCAUAGUGGAAGGUCUCACUAUAGACAAAUAAAGUUUAAAAAACAUACAACACUAACCAGAAAAUGAUGACAGGGAGAAAAAUGAAUGAUUUCAAACUUAAUUCCCACAUCAAGACUGUCUCACAGAUGAUUUUUGAAAUAACUCAUAGAUAAAUAUAAUUGACACAAUAAAUAAUUUACUAAAUUUAGGUGUUAUAUUCUAAAUUACUUUCUAUAUACUUUAAGAAAUAGUUAAAAUAUAUUACUGUGGUCUUUUGCUAUACAGCUAUGUACUUUAGGUAAUCAUAAGUCUAACCUAACAGAUUUAAACACGUUACAAGACAUGUUAGAGCAGAAAACUUUACAAGAGUUCUGUUAAAAAGCACUUCUUAUUAUUAACGUUCUUUUGUAAGCUGGGAGUUGUUUCUGCUGCCCUACGAACAUCAAGGCUAUAUAGUAGAAAUCUAAACUGAGAAAUAAAUGACUUGUCUCCUGCAGUAAUAGAUAGCUAUUAAUAAUUUGAAAAAUAUAAGAUUUUCUUUACACACCUGUUACUUUAGUGUUAUAUGAACAUAUCAGCUGGUUGGUACAGUCCC
ensembl:lncRNA